CCUACGGGGGACAGCAGUGAGGAAUAUUGGUCAAUGGCCGGGAGGCUGAACCAGCCAAGUCGCGUGAGGGAAGACGGCCCUCCGGGUUGUAAACCGCUUUUGUCAGGGAGCAAGGUGCAGGUCGGGACCUGCGGUUAGAGUACCCGAAGAAAAAGCAGCGGCCAACUCCGUGCCAGAGGCCGCGGUAAUACGGAGGAUGCGAGCGUUUUCCGGAUUUAUGGGGUUUAUGGGGUGCGCAGGCGGAGGCACAAGUCAGCGGUAAAAUCGCGGGGCGCAACCCCGGUCCGCCGUUGAAACUGUGUGCCUUGAGUGCGCGAAGGGUAGGCGGAAGGCGUGGUGUAGCGGUGAAAUGCAUAGAUAUCACGAAGAACUCCGAUCGCGAAGGCAGCCUACCGGCGCGCAACUGACGCUCAGGCACGAAAGCGUGGGUAUCGAACAGGAUUAGAUACCCGGGUAGUC
rnacentral:rRNA from 1 species